ACCCCGAUGGUUAUCCUCACC
rnacentral:miRNA from 1 species